CCAUAGAUACUGUUGGCCGAAAAUCGCUGCCAGGCAUCGACACCAUAGAUGGGCGAUAGAUGUUUAGCUAUUUCUACAAAUCGCAAUUUAUCACCAAAUGACACAGUAUUAAAGUAAAAAAAGAGAAAGAGAGGAUACCUACAUUCUCGUAUCAAUUCUAAUGACUUUCGUCCGCAUUUGAGUCCAUGAACAUUUGUGCUGCACAGCUGGCCGAUCUUCCAAGACAGCCGUUUAGAUAGCUAAAUUUGGUUAGCCGAGAGAUAAUCAUUAAGGACGAUUUAAGAUUAUUUAUCUUUUUCGCAAAUUGGAAAAGUGGUUAUAAUGUUCACUUCCCUUCACAAUGAAGAGAUCUUGGUUGUUUCAAAAGUAUAUAAGUAUCUGGUGAUUUGUAAACUUGAAGCUUGUUUACCGUUAAAUU